AUUCCAGCUCCAAUAGCGUAUAUUAAAGUUGUUGCAGUUAAAAAGCUCGUAGUUGGAUUUCUGGCGUGCGACCCGGGUCGGCCCGAAAUGGGUCUGUACUAGGAGCCGCGCGCCAUCCUUGGGGCGAGGCGUACUACCAUUAACUUGGCGGUGCGUUGAGCCCCAUCGUUUACUGUGAACAAAUUAGAGUGUUUAAAGCAGGCAUAUGCCUUGAAUACAUUAGCAUGGAAUAAUAAGAUAGGACUUCGGUAAUAUUUUGUUGGUUCAUUAUUGAGGUAAUGAUUAAUAGGGAUAGUUGGGGGUAUUCAUAUUCAAUUGUCAGAGGUGAAAUUCUUGGAUUUAUGAAAGAUGAACUUCUGCGAAAGCAUUUGCCAAGGAUGUUCUCAUUA
rnacentral:rRNA from 1 species